rnacentral:tRNA from 1 species
CAGGGUGUAGCUCAGUGGCAGAGUGUUUGCCUUGCACACAAAAAGCCCUGGGUUCAGCCCAUGGCACCAUAA